CAAAUCUAUCGCUGGAUAUACAAAGUUAACUUAUCAGCCAGAAGACUGGCAUAAAUUCAAAUAAUAAAAAUGAAGCGGUAUGCGAACUAGCCCAUUCAUUCAAUGUCGAUGUUUAUACUUCCUGCCUGAAUAGUGCGCGCCGUUGGUCCUACAAUGCCGCAACCAAUACCUGCAUUAAGUUCACCUAUUUGGGCUGUGGGGGAAACGGCAACAAUUUCCUGACCAAAUCGCAAUGCUUACGACAGUGUGUGCGAAAAUAGUGGAAAAUUUUUAUAUUUAUACUCCCAUUUUAUUAAUCGAUGUAAAACAAUCUUAUCAUAUAUAAAGCAUAUUUAGAAUAUA
rnacentral:misc_RNA from 1 species